rnacentral:lncRNA from 1 species
AGUGUACAGCAGAAUGAGCCUCCUGUCACCAGCCCAGAGCUCUCAGACAGAAUUGAGUUCCUGUACAGUAGGACUUUCCACUCAUGUCUGUGGUCUAGGAGGAGAUUGGGUUGGGCAAACACCAGGCACGAUGGAGCAACCAUUAACCCUGGAGUUGUGAAGACAGGACCACAAGCUGAGAGAGGGCAGCAAUGGAAACCCAGCCAAACUAUUAAUGGAAGGCUGGGUCCCAUUCUUUAUUAUCCUUCUGUGGUCUCGUCACCAGCAGGGUGAGCCAAAGCCGAGGGCAAGAACACGCUGGGUGACCUUCCACACCCCAAAUGCAAGAUCAAGUGCUGUGGAGAAGGAGUUUUUAAAUUAACUUUCCUAAGACUUUACUGACAAACCUGAGAAAAACAAGCAAUGAGCAAAAUAUUCUCUAUUUAAUGAAUGUUGUUGAGAAAACUGACUAGCCAUAUGCGGAAAACUGAAACUGAACCCCUUCAUUACACCUUAUACAAAAAUUAACUCAAGAUGGACUAAAGAUUUAAAUAUAAGACCUAAAACCAUAAAAACCCCAAAAGAAAACCUAGGCAAUAUCAUUCAGGACAUAAGCAUGGGCAAAGACUUCCUGAUGAAAACACUAAAAGCAAUGGCAACAAAAGCCAAAAUUGACAAAUGGGGUCUAAUUAUACUAAAAAGCUUCUGCACAGCAAAAGAAACUAUCACCAGAGUGAACAGGCAACCUACAGAAUGGGAGAACAUUUCUGCAAUCGAUCCAUCUCACAAAGGGCUAAUAUCCAGAAUCCACAAGGAACUUAAACAAAUUUAGAAGAAAAAAACAACUCCAUCAAAAAGAGGGCAAAGGAUAUGAACAGACACUUCUCAAAAGAAGACAUGUGUGCAUCCAACAAACAUGAAAAAAAGCUCAUCAUCACUGGUCAUUAGAGACAUGCAAAUCAAAACCACAAUGAGAUACCAUUUCACGCCAAUUAGAAUUGCGACCAUUAAAAAGUUAGUAAACAACAGAUGCUGGAGAGGAUGUGGAGAAAUAGGAACAUUUUUACACAGUUGGUAGGAGUGUAAAUUAGUUCAACCACUGUGGAAGACUGUGUGGAGAUUCCUCAAGGAUCUAGAACCAGAAAUACCAUUUGACCCAGCAAUCCCAUUUCUGGGC